rnacentral:misc_RNA from 1 species
GAUCAUUACUGAGUGCGGGCUGCCUCCGGGCGCCCAACCUCCCACCCGUGACUACCUAACACUGUUGCUUCGGCGGGGAGCCCUCUCGGGGGCGAGCCGCCGGGGACUACUGAACUUCAUGCCUGAGAGUGAUGCAGUCUGAGUCUGAAUAUAAAAUCAGUCAAAACUUUCAACAAUGGAUCUCUUGGUUCCGGCAUCGAUGAAGAACGCAGCGAACUGCGAUAAGUAAUGUGAAUUGCAGAAUUCAGUGAAUCAUCGAGUCUUUGAACGCACAUUGCGCCCCCUGGCAUUCCGGGGGGCAUGCCUGUCCGAGCGUCAUUGCUGCCCAUCAAGCCCGGCUUGUGUGUAUGGGUCGUCGUCCCCCCCGGGGGACGGGCCCGAAAGGCAGCGGCGGUCACCGUGUCCGGUCCUCGAGCGUAUGGGGCUUUGUCACCCGCUCGAUUUAGGGCCGGCCGGGCGCCAGCCGACGUCCAACCAUUUUUUCUUCAGGUUGACCUCGGAUCAGG